GCAGUCGUGGCCGAGGGUUAAGGCGAUGGACUAGAAAUCCAUUGGGGUCUCCCCGCACAGGUUCGAAUCCUGUCGACUGCG
rnacentral:tRNA from 1 species